rnacentral:rRNA from 1 species
CCUACGGGUGGCAGCAGUGGGGAAUAUUGGACAAUGGGGGCAACCCUGAUCCAGCCAUGCCGCGUGUGUGAAGAAGGCCCUCGGGUUGUAAAGCACUUUCAGUGAGGAAGAACGCCUGGUGGUUAAUACCCAUCAGGAAAGACAUCACUCACAGAAGAAGCACCGGCUAACUCCGUGCCAGCAGCCGCGGUAAUACGGAGGGUGCGAGCGUUAAUCGGAAUUACUGGGCGUAAAGCGCGCGUAGGUGGCUUGAUAAGCCGGUUGUGAAAGCCCCGGGCUCAACCUGGGAACGGCAUCCGGAACUGUCAAGCUAGAGUGCAGGAGAGGAAGGUGGAAUUCCCGGUGUAGCGGUGAAAUGCGUAGAGAUCGGGAGGAAUACCAGUGGCGAAGGCGGCCUUCUGGACUGACACUGACACUGAGGUGCGAAAGCGUGGGUAGCAAACAGGAUUAGAUACCCUGGUAGUC